UACGAAGGGUGCAAGCGUUACUCGGAAUUACUGGGCGUAAAGCGUGCGUAGGUGGUGAGUUAAGUCUGUCGUGAAAGCCCCGGGCUCAACCUGGGAAUGGCGAUGGAUACUGGCUCGCUAGAGUGCGGUAGAGGAGAGUGGAAUUCCCGGUGUAGCAGUGAAAUGCGUAGAUAUCAAGAGGAACACCUGAGGCGAAGGUGGGUUGCUAGGCUGAUACUGACGCUGAGUGCGCGAAAGCUAGGGUAGCAAACGGG
rnacentral:rRNA from 1 species